rnacentral:lncRNA from 1 species
GGUUAGGGCCUCACUUCCCUGCUUCCACACCUCAGGGAGGCCUCGGUGAUUUUGCCAGAGCCUCAGCCUCCAUCGCUCUGUAACCUGCGGGUAUUGGAUGAUUCGUAGCUAAGACUUCGCGACACCCUUGAAGCUGAGAAAUGAACCCUUAACAUUCAGGGAUGUGGCCAUAGAAUUCUCUCCAGAAGAGUGGAAAUGCCUGGACCCUGCCCAGCAGAAUUUGUAUAGAGAUGUGAUGUUGGAGAACUACAGAAACCUGGUCUCCCUACUAUGUGUUCUCAUUUCACCCAAGACUUUUUGCCAGUGCAGGGGAUAGAAGAUUCAUUCCACAAACUUAUACUGAGAAGAUAUGAGAAAUGUGGGCAUGAUAAUUUACAAUUAAGGAAAGGCUGUAAAAGUAUGAACGUGUGUAAAGUGCAGAAGGGAGUUUAUAAUGGAAUUAAUAAAUGCUUGUCAAAUACUCAGAGCAAAAUAUUUCAAUGUAAUGCACGUGUCAAAGUUUUUAGUAAA